CCUACGGGCGGCAGCAGUGAGGAAUAUUGGUCAAUGGACGCAAGUCUGAACCAGCCAUGCCGCGUGCAGGAAGACGGCUCUAUGAGUUGUAAACUGCUUUUGUACGAGGGUAAACGCAGAUACGCGUAUCUGUCUGAAAGUAUCGUACGAAUAAGGAUCGGCUAACUCCGUGCCAGCAGCCGCGGUAAUACGGAGGAUUCAAGCGUUAUCCGGAUUUAUUGGGUUUAAAGGGUGCGUAGGCGGUCGGAUAAGUUAGAGGUGAAAUCCCGAGGCUCAACUUCGGAAUUGCCUCUGAUACUGUUCGGCUAGAGAGUAGUGGCGGUAGGCGGAAUGUAUGGUGUAGGGGUGAAAUGGUUAGAGAUCAUACAGAACACCGAUUGCGAAGGCAGCCUACCAAGCUACUUCUGACGGUGAGGCACGAAAGCGUGGGGAGCAAACAGGAUUAGAUACCCGGGUAGUC
rnacentral:rRNA from 1 species